GUUUUUUAAAAAAACGCCGCAAAAAAAAAUAAUUGUUUACCUUGAACAGUGUCGUUUUCCUGCUAUGUUUGCUUCUUUCUCAUGCCCGACGCCUCCCUGCAACCCAAAAUAGAUUUCCCAAUUCUCUAAUUUCUUCUGAUCCCUAAAUUUUCCCCAAAAGAAUCAGCACCCAAGAAACCUAAGACCAGACCCCUUUCAUGCAAACGGAAACUGUCUCUACAAUUCCAAUUCAUGCGUUUUUAAGCAAGGAUAUAUAAGUUGAUAAGCUUUGGAAGCCAUUUGAGCAACGCCUGCCAUGAACAAGCAUGUAAUGGAAUCUUCAUGUUCAUAGGGAGAGGUUUGCUUUAGAUGUCUUUGAUGCCUAUAUCAAGAAAGCAUUGGGUAAAAAAUGGAGAAACCACAAAAGCAUUUUGAAAAAAGAAUAUUUUAAAAAACCCAUAAGCUUCGAAGAAAAAUUGCAAAAUGUCCCACCGGGAAUGCUGAGGUACCAAUGGGAAGAUGCGGUUCGACUUUGGAAUUCGAAGAAAGGAGAGGACCGUGAGCGAGUUGGAACAAGCGCAGUAAAACAAAAAUUUACGCA